UACGAAGGGGGCGAGCGUUGUUCGGAAUUACUGGGCGUAAAGGGCGCGCAGGCGGCCUUAGAAGUCAGAUGUGAAAGCCCCGGGCUCAACCUGGGAAUGGCAUUUGAUACUCUGAGGCUGGAGUACGGGAGAGGUGAGUGGAAUUCCCAGUGUAGAGGUGAAAUUCGUAGAUAUCGAGAGGAACACCGGUGGCGAAGGCGGCCUUCUGGACAGUGACUGACGCUGAGACGCGAAAGCGUGGGGAGCAAACAGG
rnacentral:rRNA from 1 species